UCAAAGGGAUAUAGAAACAUCUUUUGCUCAGGACAGCAGAGAAAGCCAAGAAAACAACAGCAUAUUUGUUUUUGCCUGGCUCAUUUAUUGCUUACAGUUUGUCUGUGCAUUUAGGAAGACAAGGUGAAUUUAAAUGCAAAGCAGUAGAGAAAUCCACUGAGAGGAAGAUAAAAGAGUCUGAAGCCAUUACAGACAAGUGGAAUAAUUGAUGGUCAUAAAGCUCAAGUGGAGAAAUGCUUUCUCAGAUGCAAGAGAUUCAACGACUUGGAGUGAGCUGAAAAAUGAAGGGGAAGAGCUGAACCAACCAGAAUUUUACAAAUUCACCUUAUGAUAAUGAAUACCUGCUCCCUUCCUUCUCAAGGAAUCAAUUCAAUUUUUCCAUCCUGAGGGGCAAAGAAAAUGCCAGUCCAAUAGACUGUUAGUGUGGAUUGGCUGAAACUGCAAAGAAAGAAAAAUUGUCUAAGUGCCCACGUGAGAGCAAGAGCAGCUCCCAUUCUGCAUCUUAAUGGCAGCAGAAAAUGCCCAGCAAUUCUGCAGCAGAUUACAGGGUCACAUCUCUCA